AGUAAAUAGAUACCCGGGUAGUCCACGCCGUAAACGAUGGAUGCUAGCUGUUUGAGGUAUCGACCCCUCAAAGUAGCGAAAGCUAAACGCGUUAAGUAUCCCGCCUGUGGAGUACGGUCGCAAGACUAAAACAUAAAGGAAUUGACGGGGACCCGCACAAGCGGUGGAGCGUGUUGUUUAAUUCGAUGGUAAGCGAAGAACCUUACCCAGGCUUGACAUCCUUGGAAGCUCUACGAAAGUAGAGUGUGCUUUUAGAGCCAAGUGACAGGUGAUGCAUGGCCGUCGUCAGCUCGUGUCGUGAGAUGUUUGGUUAAGUCCAUCAACGAGCGCAACCCUUGUAGUUAGUUGAAUUUUUCUAGCUAGACUGCCCUGGUAACAGGGAGGAAGGAGGGGAUGAUGUCAGGUCAGUAUUUCCCUUACGUCUGGGGCUACAAACACGCUACAAUGGCCGGUACAAAGGGCAGCCAAGUCGCGAGACGGAGCAAAUCCCAUCAAAGCCGGUCCCAGUUCGGAUAGCAGGCUGAAACUCGCCUGCUUGAAGUCGGAAUC
rnacentral:rRNA from 1 species